rnacentral:rRNA from 1 species
CGGAGGGUGCGAGCGUUGUCCGGAAUCACUGGGCGUAAAGGGCGCGUAGGCGGCCCGGUAAGCGUGUGGUGAAAGCUCGGGGCUCAACCCCGAGUCGGCCAUGCGAACUGCCGGGCUCGAGCACUGUAGAGGCAGGUGGAAUUCCGGGUGUAGCGGUGGAAUGCGUAGAGAUCCGGAAGAACACCGGUGGCGAAGGCGGCCUGCUGGGCAGUGGCUGACGCUGAGGCGCGACAGCGUGGGGAGCAAACAGGAUUAGAUGCCCUGGUAGUCCACGCCGUAAACGAUGGGCACUGGGUGCUUGGGGGAGCGACCCCCUGAGUGCCGGCGCUAACGCAUUAAGUGCCCCGCCUGGGGAGUACGGCCGCAAGGCUG